AUGCAUCUAUUUGACAGACCUGUAGCAGUUGCUUAUCUGCUGCCUUGGUUUUCACCACAGAUGCAAGAACAAGAAAUCCUCGCGCUUUCUGCCUGUCUGAUGUGGCAGCCCAGAUUGAAUGGGGGGCUACAGGU